AUUGAACACUGGCGGCAGGCCUAACACAUGCAAGUCGAACGAGUGGCGGACGGGUGAGUAAUGUCUGGGAAACUGCCUGAUGGAGGGGGAUAACUACUGGAAACGGUAGCUAAUACCGCAUACCAUCGGAUGUGCCCAGAUGGGAUUAGCUAGUAGGUGGGGUAAUGGCUCACCUAGGCGACGAUCCUUAGCUGGUCUGAGAGGAUGACCACGUACACUGGAAUUUGGACACUGUCCAGACUCCUACGGGAGGCAGCAGUGGGGAAUAGUGCACAAUGGGCGCAAGCCUGAUGCAGCCAUGCCGCGUGUAUGCAGAAGGCCUUCGGGUUGUAAAGUACUUUCAGCGUGGAGGCGUUACCCGCAGAAGAAGCACCGGCUAACUCCGUGCCAGCAGCCGCGGUAAUAC
rnacentral:rRNA from 1 species